ensembl:lincRNA
GUCACAGGCCUUUCCAGUGUCACUACUGUCCCUACAGUGCCUCGCAGAAGGGGAACCUGAAGACCCACGUCCUCUGCGUCCAUCGAAUGCCUUUUGACAACAGCCAGUAUCCCGACCGCAGGUUCAAACGUUCCAGGGUCGACUCGGAGGCUUCUGGGAAUCUUGAGGAGGCUGCGGCUGUCAAGGCUGGGAGCUUUGCUGAGCUCACAGAUGAGAGAGGCAAAGGCCAGGAGGAAGGCAACUGAGCAGAGCCGCCCACUGCGCGACACACCUCUCUACAGUUUGAAAUCAUGCAUCUGGGCUCACCAGUUUGCUAACUGCAUUCCAAGGGGAAAGUCAUGUACAACCCCUCACUAGUGUAUAGAACAUUUAAAAGAAUUUUAAAAGAUAUCUAUCUAUAUAUAUAUUAAAAAAAUUCCCCCAGCCCUUGAACAUGGCUGCUACACUGUUACCCAGUAACAAGAACUUCCAAGAAAUGCAGGUGGGAGAAAGUGAUUUUAGAAAUGGCCCCCGUGUCCCUCAAGCUCCGAUAGCUGGAGGUCCUUCUAACCCAAAAGUCAUCUUUGUCCAGAAAAACCCAAAAGGAAACAAAAAACAAAACAAACAACAAACCCACAACUAUACCGUUCGAGCGAUUUAGGGUCGCCUCGAAGGGUCUGUGUUCUUCUUAAAAACACCUCUAUAAUCUGACACCAGCUGCUGUCCUUCGCCACCGUCCUAAUGAGAGGAGCUGGGAGGCAGCUGAGGUGCCAGUCAGACUGGGGCGGUCACUGCAGGGAAAAUCAAUUCACAUGGUGUCACUCUGCGCUCUGGGAGAAAUCCUAGCCGGCCCACAUGCAGUCAGAGAGCGCCAGACCUGACCAGUGCUGCCGAGGAUGGUAAUCUAAAGUGUGCUUUAAAAAAAAAAAAAAAGAAAAACAACACACACAGCCGGAUGAAUCAGUGGUCAGGAAGUGUCUGCAGACAAAUGUCCUUUGCAGCUUUGAUGAGUCAUUCCCUUUUUUGUCCGUUUUUCUUUCUUUUUUUUUCUUCUUUUUUUGGAUCAAAUUGCAGUACAGAAAGACAUGCAUUUCAUUUUAUUAUUUUCUGUCCUGGGUUUUACUUUUUUGCAAACGUCUGGAUGAAGGAAAGAAGGUUUGCCAUUAAAAACAAAUUGUAGAAAACGUUCUAGAAACUGUCAUUAGGAAGUCGGAGCAGCUCUUCUCUCUGUAGAAAGUUCUGGUGACUGACGGCAAUUUCUUUGCUAAUGGGAAGCCUGCUUUAGAUUGUGUUUUGAAACAUUAUUUCUUUUUACUAGAAUGAAGUCUAUCCUGGCCCUUGUUACCAGAUUUCUCCUUUCAUGUGUUACUUUUUAAGUGUUGUGGGCAUGAAGCAAGAUUUUUUUUCUCCCUCCAGUGAUUUCUUCGACAAUAACUUGUAUUAAAACAUGAAUCUAACCCCCCCCCCCCCCGAGAUGUCUGUCACUAAUGAAGAAAACAGUUUGAGUUAGAAUGUUCGUUUCUUUGAAACAAAUGUGUUCUGUACUUCUGUAGAUGAUAGUGAUUUGAACACUCAGAUUUUAUUAAGCUCUGCACCGCACUGAUGGAGAUUUUGAGGGCUGACAAGGAAACACAGCUCACAAAACAACAAAAACAAAAACAAGGAUGUAAGAAAAGUCCCAGAAGGGUUCUUCUGGAACCUGCUAGAACAUUAUAAAAGUCCCCGCCUUCUAACACACUUCCUUUGAGUGACAUGAAAUUGGUACCGUUGCUUGUGAUGGCGGAGACGUAGUGAGGUAUUAACUUCGAAAACGAAAUGAUUUAGACUUGGAGAGAGAGAGAGAGAGAAAAAAAAAAAGUCAAUAAUUCCUUUUAGUCUGGGAGCACACUGUAAAACCCCAGGGCCUUAAAAACUUCAACUCUGCCUAUAGCAGUUUACAAAAAUACUAAGCUGCAAUCAAUGUAAAUAAAAUUCUUAGCACUAUCCUGAGACUGAAUUUCAGGCUAAUAAGGAAUUCGGUUUGCAUAUGCUGUCAAAAGGGUGUCAUCCGACCUGGGUUUCACUGGGAAUGAGGCCGCUGGGCAGCGUGGACCCAUCUGGCAUAAAGCAAGCUGCUUUCUUGCUGGUUUUCUUUUCUUUUCUUUUUUUCAUUUGUUUUCUUUCUUCCUUUUUUUUUCUCUCUCGUCCCAACCCCCUUCUCUAGAAUAGCUCUCACUGCCUUACUUAACUCAAGUUGAUCAACUGUGGCUGUCUCUGUGGUCCACAGGAGGCCUGGAGACGCUGGUGGAAAAAAAAAGUCUGACCGUAGUAAGCAUUUAGGGUUUUAACUGCACUGCUGUGUUUGGUGACUGUGCCAGUGGCUUGCUUUCUGUGUGUUUGCCCCACCUGUGGUAUCUUAGCAAAGAAAACUUAAAACAAUAAAAUAAAAUUAAAAAAAAUAAAUAAAAAGGAAAAAAAGUGGAAAAAAGAUUUAAAAAAAAAAAGAAAAAGAAAAGAAAGAGCAGGAGAGAGAUCCACAUUCCAUGUCUAGCACUUUGGCGCUGGUACAGUAUCUUUUGUGCCCCCCAAGCAUCUUCAGAUGCUACAGGCAAUAAUUCUGUUUGUGACACUGGGAACAUCCUCCUCUUCUUUGUGGCGUGUGUGUUGAUCCCACUUUGUCCUGUCCUACUAGCCGCCCCUUUUUCCCUCUGACACAGGCUUUCUUUCCGGAACAUUUGUGACUUGUAACACAAGCCCGUGGCAGCCUCUGUGAUGCAGUGUCAGCGUCGCGUGUCACCAGGCUCUCGUAUCUGCACACCUCAGCCCCUCCCCCGUGACUUCUGUAGUCUGUGACGCUGUCCCCAACCCUGUCUACAUUCUAUCUUGGAGGAACUCUGAGAUCAUAGAGUAGAGGAGUUUGUCGCUAUGCUUGUAACAAGUAGAACACUUUGUAUUUAAAGUUUAUUCUUGGUCAUUAUUUAUUAUUAUAAUACAUCAGUUGACAGAACUUUAUUCUGGUAUAGAAAGUAUUAAAAGUUGUUUUUUUUCAGCGAUGACUGUUUCCUUUCUGCUGUUAGGAAUAAAAUGUCUUUGAAGCAGUCCAGUUUUAUCCGGUGUUUUAUGCAGUAAAACCUCUACCUUUGCAAAACAAAAAUCCAAAACCAAAACAAAGUAUAUCUUUGCUGAGUCCUACAAAGAAUGAAACCUACUUCUCUGUGCUUGU